GAAAGCAGGAAAAUAAGCACAAAAUGGGCUGGUCCUAAGAAGCAUUGGGAAAGAGCCAGCAUUUCAUGCUUAUCAUACUCACAGAGAAAACUGAAGCCAAGUAGAUCACAGUGUGUCAAAAGACCAGCAACAGGCAAGAAGUUAAUAAGGAAGAACAGUUGUAACUCUCAAAGCCAUCCGUCUUCAGGGAUAGAAUCUAGGCAGCAGUAUGAAAAUGCUCCUCAAGGUUAUAACA